GAGGUGGGUGCCUUGGGGGUGGUCCCAACUGGGUGGGGUUGGGGAGCCUGGGGGCACCAUACGGGUAUAAGAAUUCAUUUUGGACACAGUGUGUGUCCCCUUCUGCGGAACCUUUGAGCUCAAUAGCCCAAGGGCAGGCCAGGCUCACCGCCCCUUUGGCUGUUGCCACUCUGGGUCAGUCUCCAGGGGCAAGGACAGGUUGGCAGUGUCCCCCCUCUGCCUGACUCCAGUCUGGGCAUUUCUGGAGCAUCCUGUGCGCCUGGCUCAGCCCAGCAAGCUGACAUUUGAAAGCUCACAGCUGUCCUGUGAGGUGGGUGAUUCCCGUGUCGUUUCAUGGUGAAGAAGCCAAGGCCAGGACAGAAGUGACCUGUCCCCGGGCCACAGCUGGGCAGGGGCGGAGUUGGCAUUUGAACCCAGCUGCGUGCCUCUUGAGUGCUGCUCUGUGGGCCCCGCAGCCUCCUGUCAGCUCCUUCUGGCGCCUGCUCUGUGGGUGUUCCUUUUGUCUAAGGCGCCUGCAGCCCUCAGAGGGUCUGUGGGGUGGGGACAGAGCUCAGCACCCCGCAUCCACCAGCACCAUCUCCGACCUCUGUGCAGGCUUCGUGUUAGAGGUGGCAGCCAGGUCCUGCCAACGGAAGAUGCUGGGCCUUGGAAACAGCCUGCACUGUAGGUGACCCGGCCGGCCGGGCCCAAACUGGCUGCCAAGAAAAGGGAGCGGGAAAGGAAAACAGCUCUCGGCCACAUCGCCUGUGUAACCGAAUCUGUUUUCAAAGCCCCUCGCAACGCGGGCUCCGCAUUCGGCAGGGCAGGCACUCGCCGCCAGAUCCCCGAGGACUGCUCAGGGGGUCUUCUGGGAGGAGCUCAAAGCGAGUUUGUUUUCGGGGAGGAGGUCAUUGCACUCAAGGUCCCCGUGACUGCAGCGUUCUCAAACGUCCUGCCAUGUGCUGGGAUAACCCCACCCACCGCAGGCGUGCCCUCCGUGGGGCAGGGAGGGGAAGCAGGUUUGGGCUGUUAGGGCUGCAAGCCAAGGGGCCUGCAGGGCAUCUUAGUGAGCUGCUUUGGUGUCCCUGCAGUUGGCGACACCCAUUGUCACACCCCCUCGGCACCCUCGGUCUCCCACAUGACAGACUUACCUGGGGAUGCAAACAGGGCUGGUGAUGACCUUGGCCCUGUGCGGUGGGGUGGCCGUUUAUGAUGGGGCCUGCACUCAACUCACUUUCAGGUCUAGAUGCGGGGACCGGGGGAGGUGUCAGCUGGGCUGGGCUGGGCACGACUAGACUGUGGCCCCGUCUGCGGGAGCCCGGCCACCACCUCAGCAACGCCACCUCCUUAGGAUGUGGGGGCGGGAUUUACUCUCGAGACUCUUAGAGCCAGCGGGUGGCUGGAGGCUCAUAGCCUGGCCCAGGCAGCUGGGGGAGGGCUUUGCUGGUGCCUGGGACCCCCCACCCCCUGCAUUCUCGCCUUUGCUUUCUCUUUUGCUCUCGUCUUUAACAACAUCUCUCCACUCCUCCCCUCCCUCCCUCCUCUGGCCUGCCCGCUCCUUCAUUCCUUCUCUGCUCCUAACCCCCGCAUAGAGGAGCCUGGGGAGCCCGCAGCCUCCUGACCCCAUGUUCCUCUUUCUCUCCUGUCUUCCUGGAGACGUCUGCCACUGACAGUCUUGGAGCCCUGUCAAGGGGACCUGUCCUGCGCUGGGCUGUCCACAGAGGAGCAGCGUGGAGGAGCUGGGAGUGCCCAGCCUGCCUGUGGGCUGCAUUGCCGCUUCCUGCCCAGGAGCCCUGCAGCCGUCUGUCCGCCUCUGAGUAGGACAGUGGGGUUUCCUGGCCAGGAGCAGAGUUUGUCACAUUCCAGUUAUGUCUGCCCAAUGUUCAGCUUUUGGGCAAGGGGUGCCGGUGGUUGAAGAGGCCCCUCUGGGCAGGAACCUCUCACCUGGGGCACGGCUGAAACCAAAGAAUUCAAGCUCCAUAAGGAAGAACCUAGAGGCCCCCCACGUCAGCCUGCCCCAGCCUGGAGCUUACCCACCAUGGAAAUGUGUCUGUUGGCCUUACAGAGGAGAAGGCAUUUGGGCAGGGCUUUGAGGUAUGAGUAGGAGUUUGCUGAAUGAAAUGAGAGGAAAGGGUUUUCAGGGCAGAGGGAACAGGUUGGGGUGGUAAGAAGGGUCCUGAGGCCCAUAGAGAGUGACUGCUAUGAGUGAGUGGUUGGAACUGGCGUGACUGAAGAUGGGGAAGGACAUCUGGGGGUCGGGGGUGCCAGAGGAGUUGGGGAUUUAUCUGGAAGAUGGUGGGUGCUAAGGCAAGAAGAACCAAUUCCUUUUUCUUUUUGCCAAAGCAAAGCCCUCCAUAGGAUUUCCUUUUGGACUUUCUUUUUGAAAGAGUAAUGCACACUGACAGUAACCAUUUAGAUAAUACAGUUUCUAAAAGAAAAGCAAUGAUCCUUUGCCUCUCCCACACCCACCUUUUCCCCACAAGCCCCCAGAAGGCUGGGGGUCUGCUCUCCCUCCCUUGACAGCUGCAGGAUGUUUUGUGGUGGGGUGUGAGGGGCUUUGGCCAGUCCCUGGAGAUGGACGUGCUGGUGUGUCCAGUUUCCCCAGCCCACUUAAAUGGGUGCAGUGAGUGGCCUUUAUAAGUUCCCCGAAGGGGGCGUGUGGGGGACAGUUACAGACAUGUCGUUUAACAAAUGCUGCAGAUCCCCUUCCAGAAGUGAAGAACAUCUCAGCCGUGCCCUGGCAGGCCUGGCUCCUCCCCCUCCACACCUGAAGUUUCUGUUUAAAAUGUUUGGCCACUGGAGGGGUGAAGACACUCACCUGUGCCUGAGGCACUUUAUUAUCCUGACUGAGCGCGCCCUGCACCUCUCACUGUCCUGAAGUGGCUCGGCCCUCGGGCUUCAUCUGGGCCUUCUGUACCUGAGCCUGGGCUUGGCCCAGCGUGGCCAGUGGGCUCCGGGCCCCUCCUGCCAGCCUAGCACUUCUGAGACAGAAGCCUGGCGCAGCAGGCAGGCACCUCUGGACUUUGAGCCUGGGCCCUUGACAGCCAGGGAGAGGGCGACCCCCAGCACACACUACCCUAACCUUUAGCAACGUCCCCACUGCAGAUGGGGGUGCUAGCCUUGAAAGUUGGGUGCCCCAAGGGUUGGGGCAGGAGGGCAAGGGGCCGCCCCAGGGAGGUGGUGCAUGACACAGCCUAUAACAGGCAGUGACUCACUGCUCAUCCAGCCAUAAAGUCAGGGUGAUAGGCUCAGUGUCCCAGCCGUGCUCCCUGGAGUCCCUGCCCCAACGUCAUUCCCUUCUCUGCAGCCUGCGCUGGGCAGAGCUCCCUCCCCAGGGGGGCCGCCUGGGCCACUCUGGGACCAUCCACCCAUUCCAGACCCACCCAUUCCAACUCACUUGCUACUGCUGGGGAGACUGAGUGCCAGGGAGGGGGAGCAAGGGUAGAUGGAGAACUAACAGUGUCAGAGUCCACAGGUCAUCUGUCCCCCACUUUACAGUGUGGACUGCGGGAGGGGAUCCCAGUGUGGGCUGCAGAGCUCAGGGCCAGGAUGCUCGGCCUGUCCAGGCUGCGAUCUGGAGGAAGCGGGUACUCUCUGCUUAGCCCAGGGCCUUCCACGCUCCUGGGGGCUGCGGGGACAGAUCCAAGAACAUGGGCCCUGGGGCCAUGGUGUCCGAUUCAACCCACGCUUCCUCCCUGUUGACACCGGGCAACUUGCUGAGCCGCUCCGUGCCUCAGUUUCCUCGUCUGUAAAGUGGGAUUCAUAGUAGCUCCUUCCCGACUGGGCUGUCUGGGGAUUGGUGAGUGAUGCCGUGGGGCAGGAUCAUGAUUUACGGGGUGCCUGUAUGUUCUCCCAGAGACGGGAAGGGCCCUGAGGGGUGACUCCUCACCAGAUAGCGGGGUCUCCCAGGGACUAAGCAGGUGGGAGGGAUGGGCGCUGCCCUACUGUGCAGAGCCUUGGCGGGAUCCCUUGACGCUGUCCCCAGGCUCUGCGGGGCCAGGAAUAGGGCCACUGGGCCUGGGGUCCUUGUAGUUCAAGGGUCACCCUGAACUGCGGGGCUCUAACUAUAGAGACCCUGGGGCAGUGACGCCUGUGCAACCUGCCCGCCUGUCACUCCCUCCCCCAACCCCUCACACUUGCCCUGCCUCCUUGACCUGCCCUGCCCACCCCUCACCCUCACCCUCACGCUGCCCCCUUAUCCCGCCCCUGGCACCUGCCCUGCCCUUCCCCUCCUGUGAUGGUUAAUACUGAGUGUCAACUUGAUUGGACUGAAGGAUGCAAAGUAUCGA
rnacentral:lncRNA from 1 species